AUUGAACGCUGGCGGCAUGCCUUACACAUGCAAGUCGAACGGUAACGGGCCUUCGGGUGCCGACGAGUGGCGAACGGGUGAGUAAUACAUCGGAACGUGCCCGAUCGUGGGGGAUAACGAGGCGAAAGCUUUGCUAAUACCGCAUACGAUCUACGGAUGAAAGCAGGGGACCGCAAGGCCUUGCGCGGACGGAGCGGCCGAUGGCAGAUUAGGUAGUUGGUGGGAUAAAAGCUUACCAAGCCGACGAUCUGUAGCUGGUCUGAGAGGAUGAUCAGCCACACUGGGACUGAGACACGGCCCAGACUCCUACGGGAGGCAGCAGUGGGGAAUUUUGGACAAUGGGCGCAAGCCUGAUCCAGCCAUGCCGCGUGCAGGAUGAAGGCCUUCGGGCUGUAAACUGCUUUUGUACGGAACGAAAAGCCUUCUUUUAAUGCAGGAGGGUCAUGACGGUACCGUAAGAAUAAGCACCGGCUAACUACGUG
rnacentral:rRNA from 1 species